GACGAACGCUGGCGGCAGGCCUAACACAUGCAAGUCGAGCGAGAGGCGGACGGGUGAAUAAUGGAUGGGGACCUGGCUGAUAGAGGGGGAUAACGACUGGAAACGGUGGCUAAUACCGCAUAACAUCGGUUGGACCCAUAUGGAAUUAGCUAGCCGGUGGGGUAAAGGCUCACCAAGGCGACGAUCUCUAGCUGGUCUGAGAGGAUGAUCGGCCACACUGGGACUUAGACACGGCCCAGACUCCUACUGGAGGCAGCAGUGGGUAAUCUUUCACAAUGGGCGCAAGCCUGAUGCAGCCAUGCCGCGUGUAUGAAGAAGGCCUUAGGGUUGUAAAGUACUUUCAGCGGGGAGGCGUUACCCGAAGAAGAAGCAACGGCUAACUCCGUGCCAGCAGCCGCGGUAAUUC
rnacentral:rRNA from 1 species